rnacentral:rRNA from 1 species
CGACAGGGAGCGAAUCCCAAACCACGUCUCAGUUCGGAUCGGAGUCUGCAACCCGACUCCGUGAAGCUGGAUUCGCUAGUAAUCGCGCAUCAGCCAUGGCGCGGUGAAUACGUUCCCGGGCCUUGUACACACCGCCCGUCAAGCCAUAGGAGCCGGGAGUGCCUGAAGUACGUGACCGCAAGGAGCGUCCUAGGGUAAGACCGGUGACUGGGGCUAAGUCGUAACAAGGUACC